rnacentral:rRNA from 1 species
UACAGAGGUCCCAAGCGUUGUUCGGAUUCACUGGGCGUAAAGGGUGCGUAGGUGGCGAGGUAAGUCGGAUGUGAAAUCUCCAAGCUCAACUUGGAAAUGGCAUUGGAAACUACCUUGCUUGAGGGUCGGAGGGGGGACUGGAAUUCUCGGUGUAGCAGUGAAAUGCGUAGAUAUCGAGAGGAACACCAGUGGCGAAGGCGGGUCCCUGGACGACUCCUGACACUGAGGCACGAAAGCUAGGGGAGUAAACAGG